AGUCAGUGCCAGAAACCUUCUCAAGAGGUGGGGGGGGUCAUCACAUGAGGAGGUCAGGGGCACUCCAAGUCCCCUCAGCCAGAUGGAGGUUGUCUGCCAGAGAGAUGUCUCUUACUCCCCCUCCAACCCCCCACAGACAGAUGGAGACACUCAGUCAUUCCUUCCUGAAUCCUCCCAGGCGUAGCCGUUCCUCCCGCCCCAGGGAACAUAUGUGCUGCUCCUCCAAGGAAGUGCAAUAUCUUGUUUACGCGCCAACUUUGACAUCCCAAAUAUUUAGUGUGGGAACUUUUCUUUAACCAAGCAUGAAGGCACAAAGUCUUUUAGUUGGAUGAGUUGUGUGUUAGCGUAUUAUGCAAAAGUACUCGACUAAUGAUCACUUUUACUUCUCCAACGGAACUUGGCAGAAACAAGUUUGGAACGGACCUUUGCCAGGAAUCCUUUGAGGUGAUUCACCUUGGCAGAGGUCUCACUAGAAUGACCAUCAGUCAUGAAGUGCGAUGGCUCGACCGACGAUGCUGCCCCCACCCCCUCGACAGUAGGAAGAAAAAGCAGGAAGAAAAUUUUUGUCUACCUUAUUGUGUUACCUUUUUUCUUAAUUUAUAGUAUGUUUUAUAUUUUUUCCCCAUAAUUUUCAAGAUAAGGAAACUUUAGUAUUAAUGAAUAACAUUUCAGUUAUCAUGUAUUCAUUUUAAGUUUUCA